CGGGCCGUAGCGCAGAGGUCGUCGCACCUCCUGAUCAGGGAGGGGAACGCCGGUUCGAAUCCGGUCGGCCCGCCCA
rnacentral:tRNA from 1 species